ensembl:lncRNA
CUAUCAGGCAUAAAUAUACGGGGCCCAUUGAUACGGGAGAGUACGGCCUCCGACCCUGACGUUAGACACUCUAUUCUAAGAUAGUAAACGCGUCGUAGCAGUUGGAAGAAAAAAACAUCGAUCUGCACUACUAUGCCGACUGACUCGAUUCGCGGCGCCGGAGGCGAGAGCGUGAAACAGCAGCUGGGUCCACGUGGAAGUUUGCCUGAUAUUCGGCUCAACAUUCAAAGACCGAUUCUAGCAGACCAGACUAAUGUGGUGACAAGCGGUAGUUUUGUACCUAUCGAGGCCAAUGUCAAUCAGCGAACCCCCGGACCAAGUCGACUGUCCAAGAAGAAUUUGAAAAGAUCGGCGGGGGUAGUGGUGGCUAUACCCUGCUCACCACUGGCCAUAGAACAGCUACAAAUUCCUUAUAAAAAGGCUCGCAAGGACGCCACACAUAGUGGUUUAGCUCCGGAGAAUUUUAACCAGGUUAUCCAGGCAGUCAUCAACCCGCAAAUCGCGCAACAUGGAGCGGCAUGGUCUGAUUCCAAACACCGCGUGAUCGGGGACGUGGAGGUGCAUGUGUCUGCGUCGCCUACAGAGACCGUCACAGUGCAACCGGAUGGGACUAUACAACACGCCCAUGGAGAUCCCCAGUGUGCGCCACCACCAGGGCUGACCGCCGACGAUUGGGCUGG